UUGUUUCCGAAGACGACGAAACGCAUUAGUCGACCUUCAGAUUCGCUUAUUGAGCUCUGCGAUUUCCGUUUAAGCAUCGUAAUUUUGGAAGAGUACAUGAAGUCACUCACGGCCACUCCUUCUUUCCUAGCUCCUGUAAAUAUCGCAUCGAAAGAAAGCCAAAAAAUAUCAACGCAUCGAGUUAAACCAUGGCUUCGUGGUGCUCGUCGUCUUCUUCAGCCACUUCCAUCAGCUGCCGCUACUCCUUACAGUGUCACGCUUUCCAAUUGCACAAUCGCCCUUUGCUUCAUGUGAAUGUUUUCCCACCUUCUUUGUCUUCUCGAGCUGCCCCCAUUGCAUCCUUGAUUAGAAUUAAGCUUCCAUUUCUCAGAAACAACUCAUUUAAGCACCGGAAUUCAAGUGGGUUUGGAAGAGUAAUUGUUGGUUGCACUACCAGUGGUACAGAAAUGGACUUGAAGGAUUCACUACGUCCGCCAUCAGAAAUUGAUUGUGUAGGAACAGGGCAAGAUGUUGAGUGCCUACUUGAGCCGGAUCAAGAAAACGGGAAAUCGGUGGAAGUCGAAUCGUUGGGAAUUUCUAUCGAGGGGCUGUUGGAGUGGGCGGUGUUGGUGUCGCCUUUCUUCUUUUGGGGAACGGCUAUGGUGGCCAUGAAGGAGGUGCUUCCUAAAUCUGGACCUUUCUUUGUAUCUGCUUUUCGUUUAAUUCCCGCUGGGUUUCUGCUUGUUGCAUUCGCUGCUUCCCGAGGUCGACCUUUCCCAUCUGGAUUGAACGCUUGGCUGUCCAUCACUCUCUUUGCUAUUGUCGAUGCUACUUGUUUUCAGGGCUUUCUUGCGGAAGGAUUACAAAGGACAUCAGCUGGUUUGGGCAGUGUCAUAAUUGAUUCACAACCUUUGACUGUGGCUGUUCUUGCAGCCUUGUUAUUUGGUGAGUCCAUUGGAAUUGUUGGAGCUGCAGGGCUUCUUUUGGGUGUCAUAGGACUAGUGCUUCUUGAGUUACCUGCACUGUCAUUUGAUGAGAGCAAUUUCUCACUGUGGGGGAGUGGGGAGUGGUGGAUGCUUCUAGCAGCUCAAAGCAUGGCAGUUGGCACAGUCAUGGUUCGUUGGGUCACUAAGUACUCUGAUCCUGUUAUGGCAACUGGAUGGCACAUGGUAAUUGGUGGUCUCCCUCUCGCGGCAAUCUCCAUUCUUAACAAUGAUCCUGCCAUUAGUGGAAAUCUUAAAGAGUUCAGUUCAACUGAUACAUGGGCACUCCUUUACACGUCCAUUUUCGGAAGUGCCGUCAGCUAUGGGGUAUUCUUCUACAGUGCAACUAAGGGUAGCUUGACCAAGCUCAGCUCCCUCACGUUUUUGACCCCUAUGUUCGCUUCCAUUUUUGGGUAACUGGCUAUUUUCCUUGUCCAACUUUACACCAUUUUCACUUUUAUGGUUGUACCAAAUGCCUAUUAACUCAUGCAUAUGGAGCAAGAAACUCAGUAUCGAGGGAUAGAAGAUAUCUUAAGGUUUCUGUAUUUGGGGGAAACCUUCUCACCUCUACAACUAGUUGGGGCCGUUGUUACUUUGGGUGCAAUAUACAUGGUUAACUUCAGAAGCACUUCAAAAUGAAGAAUAUACAGACAUACUCCAUAUUUUACCAGUUCCUUUACACCCGAACAAGAUGUGAAACAAUUGCUUGGCGAACUGGAUGUUUAUCAAGAACUCAUAGUGGAGAUAUGCCAGCAGCAAGGUUAGGUUUGUAAGCUGGACCAGAAAAUUUGAAGCAUCAUCUACAGUUUCUGUGCUUGUCCUUAAGUUCUGUAAAUGUGUUUCAAUUGUUGCUGAAUGGUGAACCUGAUAGAGUCAUAGAUUAAGCUAUUUAAGCCUGUCUAGGCACUAUAUAUGUUGCAUGCUUUUUAAAAAGCUUGAAAUUUACUGCAAGGCUAGAAUCCAAUUCCAAGCCUUAUUUAGGAUAUAGUUGCUUUUGUAAAAUUUUCAUUGUUGUCUAGGAGGAGUUAAAUGCUCUCAUCUGACAGAAGUAAUAACAGUGUAUAGAACAUUAUUGGUAGAAUCCCAAUCUACCAUAUCAAUGCAUAUGGAUUUUCCCAGUUA